rnacentral:rRNA from 2 species
GGGGAAUAUUGCACAAUGGAGGGAACUCUGAUGCAGCGACGCCGCGUGAGCGAUGAAGGCCUUCGGGUCGUAAAGCUCUGUCCUAUGGGACGAUAAUGACGGUACCAUAGGAGGAAGCCCCGGCUAACUACGUGCCAGCAGCCGCGGUAAUACGUAGGGGGCGAGCGUUGUCCGGAAUUACUGGGCGUAAAGGGUACGCAGGCGGCCAUGUAAGUCAGAUGUGAAAGACUAGGGCUUAACCUUAGCAAGCAUUUGAAACUGUGUGGCUUGAGUUAAGGAGAGGAAAGUGGAAUUCCUGGUGUAGCGGUGAAAUGCGUAGAUAUCAGGAGGAAUACCAGUGGCGAAGGCGACUUUCUGGCCUUAAACUGACGCUGAGGUACGAAAGCGUGGGGAGCAAACA